rnacentral:rRNA from 1 species
UGGGGAAUAUUGCACAAUGGGCGCAAGCCUGAUGCAGCAACGCCGCGUGAACGAUGAAGGUCUUCGGAUCGUAAAGUUCUGUUGCAGGGGAAGAUAAUGACGGUACCCUGUGAGGAAGCCCCGGCUAACUACGUGCCAGCAGCCGCGGUAAUACGUAGGGGGCUAGCGUUAUCCGGAUUUACUGGGCGUAAAGGGUGCGUAGGUGGUCUUUCAAGUCGGUGGUUAAAGGCUACGGCUCAACCGUAGUUAGCCUCCGAAACUGGAAGACUUGAGUGCAGGAGAGGAAAGUGGAAUUCCCAGUGUAGCGGUGAAAUGCGUAGAUAUUGGGGGGAACACCAGUAGCGAAGGCGGCUUUCUGGGCUGCAACUGACACUGAGGCACGAAAGCGUGGGUAGCAAACAGG